AGGGGCUGGAGAGAUGGCUCAGAGGGUAA
rnacentral:piRNA from 1 species